rnacentral:rRNA from 1 species
GAGGUAAGAACAGAUGCUUACAGAGAUGCCCUUUUGGACAAUCCUAGCCUAAUGAAUGGAGCAACUGUACUGGAUGUUGGUUGUGGUACAGGAAUUCUAAGUCUUUUUGCAGCGAAGGCUGGUGCAUCUAGAGUUGUUGCGGUUGAUGGGAGUGCAAAGAUGUCUUCUGUGGCUACACAAGUAUUCAAAAAAAAUGGUUUAUUAUAUGAUGAGAAUGGGAAAACGGAACAAAAAGGUAGCCCUCAAGUGAUAAGUGUUGUGCAUACCAAGGCUGAAGAGCUAAACCAUAAAGUUGUAGCUCCGCCGAAUGGCUUUGACGUGUUAGUGAGUGAGUGGAUGGGAUAUUGCCUAUUGUAUGAAUCCAUGCUCAGUUCAGUUAUAUAUGCACGUGCCCAUUUCCUAAAACCUGGUGGUGCUAUUCUACCGGAUACUGCAACAAUUCUUGGUGCUGGUUUUGGGAGGGGUGGAACUAGCUUGCCAUUUUGGGGAAAUGUGUAUGGCUUUGAUAUGUCAUGUAUUGGCAAAGAAGUAACAGGGAGUUCGGCUCGAUUUCCUGUAAUUGAUGUACUUGAUUCUAAGGAUAUUGUGACAGAUACUGCUGUACUCCAUUAUUUUGAUCUGGCAACUAUGAAGGAAAGUGAAAUGGAUUUCACCGCGAGCUUGGAGCUAAGGCUUCCUGAAAGUGGUGCAGCUGCUAUACCAGGAGUAACCUGGUGCCAUGGCAUUGUCUUGUGGUUUGACACUGGCUUCACCGACAGAUUCUGCAAGGACAAGCCUGUGGACCUGUCCACCUCUCCUUUCUCCACACCAACUCACUGGUCGCAAACAAUCUUCACCUUUGAAGAGCCCAUAGCGAUUACAAAUGGGAAAUCAGUCGUUGGCUCAUCUGCAUCAGUUGGCUCAGCGGAGUGCCCAGCUGCCUCGAUCAGAUCGCGCAUCAGCACCGUGAGGGCCUCUGAGCACCGCAGCAUAGACAUAUCAAUCGUAACCACGGGAAUCAGCUCCGAUGGCCGGAAGCGCAGCUGGCCAGCUCAGAUCUUCAACCUUUGA